AUGUUGAGCCCCUGUUCUUCUCAAAUCGUACCCAGUCAUUUUUUCGAGAAAACGCAAAAAGCCUUUGCGUUUCAUUUCAUUGAAAAGAUGGAUGGCCUCCUAGGAGGUGUGUCGUUACAUGUUUUUGUAAUUGGUCAGUGUACAUCCCAGGUUGUGGGCAGGACAACCCGAAGCCCCUGGGCGCCUGCCUUUGCCCAACAUCGGGCCUCCUCUUUGAUCCUAUCCACUAGUGUUGCGAUGGAUGGUGUAGCAUUGUCGAAGACGCAUGCAUUCCGGUGCGUCCAUAUCAUCGAGGGGACGAGCAAAGUGAUAGACUUGAGGGCUUUGCGCUGCGCCGGUGGUGUUCCCUCCCUUGCGCGCCGCCACCACUCCAUGACGCUGGGCUCUUGA
rnacentral:rRNA from 1 species